rnacentral:rRNA from 1 species
UGUAAAAACUCCCAAACCCCUGCGAACAUACCUGUCGUUGCUUCGGCGGAUCGCCCCGGGCGCUGUAACGUGCCCCGGAAGAAGGCGCCCGCCGGAGGACCACAAACUCUUGUUUUACACCGGAUUUCUCUGAGUGGCAUGCAAAUGCAAAACAUAAAUGAAUCAAAACUUUCAACAACGGAUCUCUUGGUUCUGGCAUCGAUGAAGAACGCAGCGAAAUGCGAUAAGUAAUGUGAAUUGCAGAAUUCAGUGAAUCAUCGAAUCUUUGAACGCACAUUGCGCCCGCCAGUAUUCUGGCGGGCAUGCCUGUCUGAGCGUCAUUUCAACCCUCCGCAGCACCUUAUGGUGCAGCGGGCGUUGGGGAUCGACGGCCGCCUAGCGUGGUCGCCGCCCCCUAAACCUAGUGGCAGUCCCGCCGUGGCCUCCCUUGCGUAGUAACUACUCUCGCAGGUGGAACAGCAGCGUGGGUUCGCCGUAAAACACCCAACUUUUUCGUGGUUGACCUCAGAUCAGGUAGGAAUACCCGCUGAACUUAAGCAUAUCAAUAA